UACGUAGGUGGCAAGCGUUAUCCGGAUUUAUUGGGCGUAAAGGGAACGCAGGCGGUCUUUUAAGUCUGAUGUGAAAGCCUUCGGCUUAACCGGAGGAGUGCAUUGGAAACUGGGAGACUUGAGUGCAGAAGAGGAGAGUGGAACUCCAUGUGUAGCGGUGAAAUGCGUAGAUAUAUGGAAGAACACCAGUGGCGAAAGCGGCUCUCUGGUCUGUAACUGACGCUGAGGUUCGAAAGCGUGGGUAGCAAACAGG
rnacentral:rRNA from 1 species